rnacentral:lncRNA from 1 species
UCAAAUAUUCAAAGCACCCUCCCGUCCAUCCCAUCAAGGAGGCCGGACCACAUCCCCUUCACCGGCGGCAGCUGCGCCACGAACGCUUGCCACGGCGGGUACCCGACGCCGCUGCCACGGACGCGGCCGUCCAGCCGGAGCGAGAGAUACCUGCAAGAUUCAGCAGCUGCAGAAACUUCAGUUAUAUUUUCAGACAAAUUCAGAGUAGUUUUUGAUACUCACACGGGGGAAUCAGCCGCCGCCGCCGCCUCCUCCUCCUCCUCGUCGGCCUCGUCGAACUGCAGGUCCGGCGCGUUGCCGUCCGUCGAGAAGGGCACGACAAGCACGCCGCGCUCCAUGAGGUCCUUCAAGAACGGCUUGCUCCGGCGGAACGACUCGGUGACGAACGCCGCGGGGCCGGCGACGAUGACGAGCCGCGCGGUGCCCCUCAGCUCGCCGAGCGGGACGGGCGGGCGGCCCUCGCCGGCGCGGAUCCUGAGCCUGGACAGGUUCUCCUCCCGCGUGAGCUUCGCCACCUGCGCGUCCUUGGCCUUGCUCUCGCGCCAGUAG